rnacentral:rRNA from 1 species
AUUGAACGCUGGCGGCAGGCCUAACACAUGCAAGUCGAACGAGUGGCGGACGGGUGAGUAAUGUCUGGGAAACUGCCUGAUGGAGGGGGAUAACUACUGGAAACGGUAGCUAAUACCGCAUACCAUCGGAUGUGCCCAGAUGGGAUUAGCUAGUAGGUGGGGUAAAGGCUCACCUGGGCGACGAUCCCUAGCUGGUCUGAGAGGAUGACCAGCAAUACUGGAACUGAGACACGGUCCAGAUCCCGACGUGGGGCAGCAGUGGGGAGUAUAUCCCAAUGGGCGCACUCCUGAUGCAGCCCUGCCGCGUGUAUGAAGAAGGCCUUCGGGUUGUAAAGUACUUUCAGCGGGGAUGCGUUACCCGCAGAAGAAGCACCGGCUAACUCCGUGCCAGCAGCCGCGGUAAUAC